UACAGAGGGGGCAAGCGUUGUUCGGAAUUACUGGGCGUAAAGGGCGCGUAGGUGGCCUUCUAAGUUGAACGUGAAAUCCCUGGGCUCAACCCAGGAACUGCGUCCAAGACUGGGAGGCUUGAAUCCGGGAGAGGGAUGCGGAAUUCCAGGUGUAGCGGUGAAAUGCGUAGAUAUCUGGAGGAACACCGGUGGCGAAGGCGGCAUCCUGGACCAACACUGACGCUGAGGAGCGAAAGCCAGGGGAGCGAACGGG
rnacentral:rRNA from 1 species